UACGGGAGGCAGCAGUGGGGANUAUUNCCCAAUGGGGGAAACCCUGAUGCAGCGACGCCGCGUGAGUGAAGAAGUAUUUCGGUAUGUAAANUUCUAUCAGCAGGGAAGAAAAUGACGGUACCUGACUAAGAAGCCCCGGCUAACUACGUGCCAGCAGCCGCGGUAAUACGUAGGGGGCAAGCGUUAUCCGGAUUUACUGGGUGUAAAGGGAGCGUAGACGGCNNNGCAAGUCUGAUGUGAAAGCCCGGGGCUCAACCCNGGGACUGCNUUGGAAACUGNNNUGCUNGAGUGCCGGAGAGGUAAGCGGAAUUCCUAGUGUAGCGGUGAAAUGCGUAGAUAUUAGGAGGAACACCAGUGGCGAAGGCGGCUUACUGGACNGUAACUGACGUUGAGGCUCGAAAGCGUGGGGAGCAAACAGGAUUAGAUACCCUGGUAGUCCACGCCGUAAACGAUGANUNCUAGGUGUCGGGGGGNANAGNCCUU
rnacentral:rRNA from 1 species